UGUGUGAGCAGUCACAAAGCAAUGCCCAGCGAUAAAACUGUCUGGGAAAAAAUAAAAGCAUAAGCGAGAUAACAAAAAACAGCAUGCUAAAACUAACAAACAUAGCAACAAAUAUAAAAGCUGCAAUCCAAGCAACCACAACAAUUGCAAUGGGGCGCAACAAAGAGAUUUUGUUGUCAACGUCAAGCGUACCCCGAGGCUACUUGUCUAGCACGAUAUCAUCCGUUGGUAGAUUUUGAUGCCGCACUCGGCUAUUCUAAUGGAAAAAGAGCAUGAAAAAAAAGUUUGUUUAAUAAACGCUGUCACGGUUCAAUGCGCGCGCUUGCGGCAUAAAUGUUGCCAUUAAAUCACAAAGCAUUUUAACUGAUUUUCAACGGAGUUAUUGAUGGUUUUUGACGGCAAAGAAACGUUGUUCCAAAGGAUUAGUGACCUCAAAUGUAUCUAAAGUUUGUUUCAGAAACCAAUUUUUGUCCUUCACACUGCCGGCUACCAGAUAAUCGAUCAGCUGUCACACAUUUUGGUUUUUGCUUUUUAUAAGAAGUUGCCAAUGCGAAAAUGUCACCAACCACGCCUUUGUAUGUGUGAGAAAUAAAACUUGAGAACAAAUUUUUAAUUGGAAAACUUUUAUUAAUUGCUGUCGAGUCUUGGCCGACCAUAGCUGCCAUUUAAUAUACAGUUAUGUAUGUUUGCUUUAUACACCAGUCAAUAUCGAUGAAGCGUAGAAUUUGAGAAAUAUAGAAAUUAUUAUGAAGCAAAU